rnacentral:lncRNA from 1 species
CCAACUGAAUCUGUUUCAUUUGAGCGAAGAAACUCUGCUUCUCUAAUGGACUUGGACGAAGGUGGUAUGCAAGACCACGACUGGCAUGGUCUUGCCGUACCAAUGGAUAACCUCUCAGAUGUCCAUUUUGAUUUCUGGUUUUAAAACUCCAACUAUCAAAUUGUCUAGUUUAAGGUUAGACGCUUGAUCUUUGUUUACAUUUACAGCAUGACCUGCUCCAUUACAUGUUGGAAGAGCAUGAGGUCAUAUUUCUUUUUCAAGUCUUGGUACUAGUAUUUCCAGAUAUGUUCAUUUUGGACGAUGUAAAUGUUUUCCAAAAUUCUAUGAUUUUGCCAGAACUAUGAUUUCUUUAAUCUUUUGGUAGGCUUAAAUGAUGCAAAGUUAUAAUGCUGUUCAUUCUGUUCUUAAUAAAUUGUUCUUUAUAAACUGUUCUGUAUUCGCAUGGUUACUUGAAGCAACCUCCAUGUGUUUGCUCCAAAUUGAAAAUUUUGAACAGCAAAUUUUGGUUGAUGAGACCCUUGUACUCUAUGUUCUCUUUUAUCUGUAACCUCAAGUUUUGUAUUUGCAGCAUAUAAAUUAUAUAGAACUUGUAUAUCUGAAAACUUGAAACCUUCAUCGGCUAAUUGGUUGAAGUACUGGUUCUACUUAUUUAUAGUGCAGAAUGCAAAUAUCUAAUAAUGGUCCGCUGAGCUUUUACUUUCACAAUCAUCCAAGUCAACUCAAAUAGUUCAGAUCAAAUUUAAAUCAUUGUUUACUUAAAAUUUGGUCAAAAAAAUAUUUACUUUUCAAAUAAGGUUCAAAUUUUUUUUUUUUUUCCUUUGGAGUCCUAAAUAUGAUUAAAAAUAAUUAUAUUCAAAUGAAAGAAUAGAGAGUAACACAAUUGAGUUCUCUCUCUCUGAGUUUUUGUCUUUCUUUUCAAACUCCUCUUUACUUCAGAGCAAUUCCAACAGGGCCCUAUAAUGGUGUCCUUAAGUUAAAAUUUAAGGCAUUUGAGAUAAAGAUGUAAUCCAACAGUGUUCUAGUGGUUCUAGUGGUGCCUUAAAACACUAGGGCACAAUACAUGUGCCUUAUUUAUAGGCAUUAUCAUACUUGUCCUAAACCAUUUUAAUCCAUAAAAUAUUCACUUUCUCUCUCUUUUCACACCUAUGUUCUGCAACUAUAGAAUGACAUAAAAACAUUGCAAAAAAUAUGAAACUUGUUAUUUUGUAAAAUACAUUCUAUAAAUAUCACUAUUUCAUGAAAAAUAUUGAGAAUCAUUUAUGUUCGACAAGUAGAACACAUAUGUUCUGUAAUAUGUAAAUAUAUUCUGCAAACUUAACAUGUUUUGCAGAAUAAUGUGUUUUUCACUAUUUAACUUGAAGAAUGUUUAGAAUUGUCAAAAUUUUUAACAAAAUAAUAAUGUUUAUAGAACAUGAUUUGCAAAAUAACACAUUUUGCAAUGUUUUUAUGCCAUUCUAUAGUUGCAGAACAUACGUGGUCUACGGUACUACAGUAAAUAUGUGGACUACAUGGAACUUUGUUCUAAUAUUUUAAUAUUAAGACAUGAAGAUAAGGCAUAUUGUUGGAAUAAAUGUAUGUGUAUAGUGUCCUAAAUCACUAGGACAUUACUCCCUCCGUCCCUCUCAAUAGUUUACAUUGAGUUUGGGCACGGAUGUCAAGAAAUAUGUAUAAAGUAGUGAAAAAGAGAAAGAAAAGUGGGUAAAGUGGUGGGACCUAUUGAUUUUUAAUAUAUAAAAGGGAGAUAGUGGAGUAAAAGUAGUGUGAAAAGAAAGAAAAAGUGGAAAAGUGUGGGACCCAUUAACUAGUUUAGGAAAGUUUUGUAAUGUAAAGAAAUGAGAGGGACAUCCAAAAGAAGAAACUGUAAAGAAUCUAGAUAGUGUUAACGGAGAAAACAGGUAGGUUAACAAAGAUGAGGUUCGCGGCGUGGAUCAAGAUUCUUGUUGGCGAGAAUGUAGGAAGCGGUUGAUUGUUUGUUAUAGUGGUGGCUGCAAUUGUAAGCAAAGGGUUCGAGAUUGCUAACUGGAAUAGCUCUCAAGAAUGAUCGAUGCCUACAAUCUGCCUACGUACCCCUAUUUAUAGGGGAUCAAGCCGGCACGUAGUUCUUUCUCCUAAGAGACCCAUGUGGGCUGGGCCUCCCCUUCUAGAAUCUUCCUCCCGAAAGGGGCCCAAUACGAUGAGGCCUAGCCCUUUAGCUUACCCCAAAUGCAUGGACACUAUCCUACUCCCCGACAGGGACAACCCGCCAGACUACAGAGAUAGGACCUUCCAAGACAUGUCUUUUCUUCUAUCCUCUACCUCCCAAGGAGGACAACCCCUCAGACUACAAGGUAGGGUCUUCAUCAUUUCAACAGUUGGGUCCACUCAUGUUUAAAGACGUCCCCCUAAACAAGAAGUAUCUCCUGCUGCCCUUCUGUACUAUAAUUGAACGAACUCUCCUUAGCAAGUGGGCGCGCCCAAAGAUAAGGCGCGCCCUGUCUUUUGACAGGGUCACCUUGAAACGGAGUUGAUCUUGACUUUCCUGACCCAAGUAGACCUUCUUCUGUGGGCCCGGCCCAUUUAAUUUCACAAUUUCACAUAUAACAGAGAGAUAGAGGGAGUAUAUUUUAUUAUAUAUAUACAGGGCUUCCAUUAAGACACUGUUGGACUUGCUCUUAGGUAAAGAUAUAUGUGAGAGGGGUAAAAUUUGGCAAGUAACGAUAUAUGUGAGAGGGGUGAAAUUUGGCUAAUACCAAGACACUCUUAGGUAAAGAUAUAUGUGAGAGGGGUAAAAUUUGGCAAGUAACGAUACACGUGAGAGGGGUGAAAUUUGGUUCAAUACCAAGACAUUAAUGUUCAAAUGUCACUACAUUAUGAAGUGUGAGGUUAUAAGAAUAAAACGGUACAUGUACGUGAUACACCGUAAUAUUAUGAAAAAUAUGUUAUAUAUCUUUAAACUUGAAAUUAUGAUAAAGAGGUGGGAUACCAAAAUAGUUCAAUUAUAUCGCUAUUAUAUCUGUUAAAAAGAGCAUAUAUUAAAUAAUAAUAUUACUUGCCAGUAAAAGACUCUGUAAAAAUUCUUAUAAUACGAUUGACAAUCACCUUGUGCAGAGAACAAGUGCAAUAAUUGGAAAAUUCGAGCGGUCAUUUUAGAAAUAAAUCAAAAUCGCAUAAAAAAUAUUGCCGAAUCAUCAAAUCACUGAUAAGCAGAAGUGAUUUAGGCGACUUGGUCGAUUUCGAGAAGCCUCUCGCGCACAAAUGAUCUGUGUGUCUACAUGAUGCUGUCCAGACAUGAAUUCAAUUCUCAACGCAACUUUGUUCACUCAGGUUCUAUUUCACCUUUUGAGCUAUUAUUUGGUAAUAUACACCUUUGAUCUUAAUAAUAUCGUAAGUAAUCGAGUUAUAGGUUAGUUUAUUGCUAAAUCGGGACUUAAUUUGUUUAAUUAUGAGGGCAUCUUGUUUUGAUACAAAGUUUUUUUACUUUUCUUAUGAUUUUUUGAGCUAUUAUUUUGUAUUAUUCAGCUUUGAUUGUAGUAAUUGAGUUCUAGGUGUAUUGGGUUCUUGCUAAAUUCUUGCUUCAAGUGUUGCAUAUGAUCUUUGUCGAGUACAGUAGAGAAGUGGAGUCUCUCCGCUCAAAUGAGAUAGAUUGAGUUAGUUGUUUUGUUCUUUCUUGGAUUCCAUGGUGUUUUUUCUUGUUACUUAUGUUAGUCUAUUAUGUAUGUAGCAAUGAUUAAUAUUUAUAAAAUACAGCUCUAUCAUGAUCUAGAAGAUUCCAGUCUCAUUUUUUACGAGUUUCUCAUGAGAGUGAUAUCAUACAUAGCUGGAAAAUUUGAUAUCUUUAUUUUAAAAUUGCUUUGUCAUAUUAUUAUUAAUUUAAGGAUUCAUGUGCACGUGGAAAUCUUGCAGUAAACAAUGAAGAAAAUGCUCCACAAAUAUCUAAAAUCGAAGAAACCAAAGACUCAUUGGCGGCCUCAGGUAAAAAUGUAUUCACAUUACAUAGCAUGUUUAGUUCGUAUGAAAUAAUAAUGGUUCAAAUGUUAUGAGUGAUAUUUUAAAGGCUCAAGAUUCUCUCUGUUCUACACUCAUUGUAGUAGCUGAGCAAGCUGCACAAACAAUGUAGUUCUAUUCAUUUUCUUUGCUCCACUUUUCUUAUUAUUAGUCGGAACAUGCUCUUGGUGUUUACGAAUUUUUCAUAUAAAAAAUUGAUAUUACCUGGGUGGGAAAUUGUAGUUUUCAUGGCAUGAUUAUCUUUUACAGGAGAUCUAUGAUACUUGAAAGUGACUGCUUUAGUUUGUUUGAUAUGAUUUUUAGGGAUUAACCUCUCUCUCUUUCUCUCUCGCUUCUCUUUCCCUUCGCACUACCACAUGGCAUUGCUCUUUUUGAAUCACUGCAGCCAUCACUGGGCAGCAUGUUCAAUCCCAUAUAGUGUUGUUUGUCCCUAGAAUCUCUAACAAGAUUAAUAACAUGGGAACCAGGCAUCUGUAUCAUACUGAAAUAGAACUAACUGUUGCAAGAGAAAACUUUAUAGCUAAACGAACUGAACGUCUUGAAGUGAAAAACUAUAACGUGAACCAACUUAUAAAACAAAAGGGAAAACAUGAUAUUCGUCGACCGCACACUGAUCAUGAAAAAUAGAAAAUCUCUCUCCAGAUACAUCAUUUUAAAAGAUAAUUAAUCCUCUGGUAUAAUCAGGAAAUGUAUAAACGACUUACCUGAACCCUUAGGUUGCAAAUUUUGGCUAGGUGAACUAUAUUUACAUUUGAAACUUGUAAGGGCUUGUUUAUCAACAGAAUUAAGAACUUGUGUACGAUUUAGUUGUUGCAGUUACAUACCUUUUAGUCCUUUUUGUUUAAAAACGAAUCUGAUAGCCUUUCAAUUUUACUUCAUCCUUAUUUUGCUCAAGAAUUUAGAGCUUCCAUUACAUAUUUUGGACUGAUAUAUUUCACUGAUCUUUCCAGAGAGAUGGCAGAUCAGCCCAAAUCACUGUACAGCUGAUUGUUGUAGAAACUCUAGAGGCAUGCUUAACGUCAGGGAUAAUCCUACAUUGCCUGCUGGAGGCGGUGGGUUGGACAAACACAAUAAAGGGAUGCGAUCUUCUGGUGCAGCUAGUAACAGAAGUAUUACUGUGAAGAAAAUUGUCAAACAGGCUGUUCACGUGAAUCUGAGUGCUGAGACGAUGCUGCUCCUCCUCAAGCUUAAUGUGUUAGGUAACUAAAAGAAAUUGGUUUCAAUGUCUCAAAAGCUUCCCUUGUAGUCAAUCUUUCGGAAUGGGUAUGAGCCUAUGAGGUACAUCACCCCUCAUGUCGGGUUCACACACCCAUUAGAUGGAAAUUAUUUAUCCUGAAAAUUCAUUCUCAAACGAAAAGUAUCUUAGAAACUCAGGAGUAAUGUUUCAUUCAGUGGUUUUAAUUUUUUAUAAACUUCAGCAUUUAUUAGUGAAUACAAUUGUUAUCCCACAAGCAUGUGGAAUUUAAAAAUGCAGGUUACAGAUAUGUAACGCUUAUUUGGUAGGCCCCAGUUAAAUAAUACAUUCUAGUUUGGGUUCUGCUUCGUAUAACUCGCCUCCCGUUGCCGUCUUCACACAUAAAAACCCUGUUAGGGCUUAUAAUUGGGGAAUAUCCUAUAAAGGACUAAUUGUAGAAGAGAAAAGCCAAAGUAGUGCGUGUAUAGACCUUUAGUGGUCAGAUCUCGAUUACCUGCUUUUGAAUUGUAUCUGCUAUCUGGUAUGUUGUUGAUUAUUCCUCUAAACUAUAAUCUGGAUAUUUACUCGCUUCUUCUAUUCUGAUGUCCACUCUCGACACAAUUGAUCCUGAAUAUAUUGUAUGUUAGUCAUGUCAGUAUAUGAACAGAUUACCAAUUAUAUUCUCGAUGUCAGUUGUUGGACCAGAUUAUUUGUUUAUAGUUUAAUUCGAGACAUAAUUGGGGCCUCGAGAUCUGAUAUAUUUUUUUUGUAUAUUUGGUUAUGUGAUAGUUGUUGGUCUGGUGCAAAUUACCUUGCUAGAUCUGUAUUCUCUGAUAUUAGAAAUUUUUAGUUUCAUGUAUUCUGUCACGGUCAUGAAUAGAAACCCAAUUUAUAAGGAAACUAUAUACAUUUUUUCACUCGUGGUAUUAUAUCCAGUGGUUAUUAUCUAUUUAUUUUUUAACAGUUGUUAUUUUUUUUGAUGAUUGGAAUGUUAUUUUGCGGAUAUUACUUCACAAAAUGAGUCAUAUUUGAAGCACUAAGUAAUGACCGACGGCAAAUCUAGUUCUGCCAUUAUUUACUUACUCCAGAAUUGUGCUUUAUUUCGAUCUUUGUGUAUAAAGUUUGAUGUUAGUUGACAUGAUAUAUAUGACGAACAUGCCUUUGUUUGGUUCUGAAAAACUAUCCUUCUAAAUUAGAACUUAACAAAUAUCUGAAAAUUUUAGCUUUGGGAUUGUGGCUGCUUUUUCUUGUUAUUAAGAUCAUUUUAUGUAUGUACGUUAAGAGAAAGCAGGUGUAUAAAGAACUUUAUCUGCUUUGUUUUGUUUGAGAAAUGAUUACAUCCCUUUCCUCUAUGCUUAUGUGUUUGCUGUAAUUUUUCUUUUGGGGUAGUGAUUGUUACUAGGACUGUGGGCUGCCCCUUAGAUAUGAUUCUUGUAUUAAGUUAACUUUUGGUUUGCAUGGUAGACCUUUUGAGCUCAUCUAUUUUUUAUUUUCAGAUAAAAUUUCAUUUAUAUAUAUAUAUAUUUUUUUUGUAAGGAAAUUUCGUUUAUAAUUCAGAUACUCAAUACUCAAUAUUACUUGCUUAUUGGUAGAAUGAUGAUGCUAAAUUAUUCUUGAAGUGUAAAGCUAUAAUAUUUAAUGAUUUGCCUACGAUUUUGAAUAGUUAAAAGGUUUGUGUAAGCAGGACUGUACUAUAAAUGGUUAGGGUCAGAGUGGGUUUGACAAUGUGUGCUUUGAGUUGCUGAAUUUGAGAGAUCUAGGUUAUGUAAUUAAGUUAUGUCCAGAUAGCACAAAUUCAUGUCUCAUAGUGCUUGUCUAACUUUUACUGCACCUUUAGGUCUGUUAAUUUUUCUGCGGGUUGUCACUGUUUUUGACAUGCAUCUCCUUAUCAGUACAAUACUCCUGAGCGGCCAAACUAAAAUUGGAAACUUAACCAAUCUGCUACAUAUAUUAUUAGCCAUAAUAGCACCGCAGUUUGCUUUAUUUUAAUAGAUUAUACUGGUUAGCUUUUGAUGUCUAGUGUUGGCUCCUCUUAUUUGAUUGAGUUUCAUGUGCGCAUUCUUAGAAUUUUAAUCUGAACAGAUCUAUGGCAUCUUCAAGGAAGACUUCUGGUACUCCAAAAACCUGUUCUAUCCCAGUGUUGGACUCCUCUUCUGAUUUUUCAGGUAUAAUGACUGACGAUUUGUUAAUGUUUACUAACAAAUUUAGCAUCAUUUUUCAGUUAUACUUUAUGUUCGCUGAAGUCAACUUUUUGGUGGGUUUUCAUCGGUUAUAUCUGGUUAAACUCCUUGUAAAGGCUCUUUCCCGUUCCAUCACUUCGUCCCUACUUUAGAUAAGACUAUACUAUUCAUCUCAUGUUUAGACCGAGAUAUCUAUUACCGAUGUUGCACUGUUAUCCUGAAGUUACUUACAUUAUUAUUAUUUUUUUUGUAUGAUUAUACUAUUAGACAUUAUUAUUAGAAUUAAAAAAAGACUACAUAAUAACAUGUGGUGAUGAUCCUCGAACCCUUUGUAUUUUUGAAUUAAUCAUAUCAGUGUCUUAUGUUGAUAUGUUGUUGAUGAGAUUCGAAUCUUUAGACCAUUGGUACUAGUUUAGAUAUCGGAAUAAAGAACUUUGUUUUAGUACCAUAUCAUGGUACUCGUCUAUUUAGUUUGAAAUAUUUAAUUGUUGUUAUUCUCUUAUAGUUAAUGUGUUAAUUAACCAACCAAACGAAAAACUACUAAGACAUACCCCUGUUCGCUUAUAAUAGUAUAGCAUGGAUAAAUAGGAAGUAUCAAUAUGUUACUUUAUUAUUAUGGUUGUACUUCUUUUUUGUUAGUAGUAGUAAUUUUUGUAAUCGGCAGUUAUCUUAUUAUUUUAAUAUUUAUGGAGUUGGGAUAGAAUUAAACAUGUAGAAGGAAAGGAAGAUGGUAAUAUAGUUUUAGAAGAACUUGAAAGCAUACUAACAUCAGGUGUAAUGCAAAAUUUUAGGUGAGUUGGAUGAGGAUCGUGAGGAAUUAUUAUUUGCUGCAGAGUUUGCUCAGAACGCCAGCUGUAUGCAUCUGCCCCGUGGCUUAUUUUCAUUUUUGUUCUUUAACUUAUCAGACGAUAUGAUCAUAUUGUAUUUUUUCUGAAUAAGUCCUACACUACCAAGAAUGGUGACGCUUUUUCUUUUCUUUUUUGCAGACCGCGCUUGUUCUGACUCGUUUUGGAAGAAACUGGAAUGUUAUUUUGCGCCUGUUACUUCACAAAAUGAGUCAUAUUUGAAGCACCAGGUAACGACGGAGGUCAAAUAUAGUUCUGCCGUAUUAAACUUGUGCUUAGGAGUUCAUGAAGAAUAGAUAUGUUAUUUAAAACUGUUUCAUGUCUUAUAUUCAACAGCUGGAUUUAGCUGAUGCAAUCGGUGGGAGUUUAUACCAGAUCGCUGAAGGUGAAGAUUAUAAAGCUCCUACUUUGUUGCAAAGACUCAUCUCUGCUAUAAUUGACAACGAUGAAAGCGAAGGGAUGAGCCAGAAUGGAGACAAGAUGGAAUCUCCCAUUCCUUCUCCCGAUUGCAACAGUCAUAUGCUGUCUGUGGAGGACAAUAUACGAGUGCAGCUGCAGAGCAUUGAUUUGUGUCCUAAAAUGGUUAUGUACCUCUGUUGUUAUUUGGUGAUGUACAUAUCAACUCUACUGACUAAUCUAAUUCUUCUCUUACUAUUGCAGCAUCCAGAGGGAGAGGAUGCAAUUGAUAAAGAUAUUCGUGAACUUGAAGAGAAAUUAGUUCAGCAGGUUUCUUUCUUUUUAUAAACCCUUAGCGAGAAUAACUAAUAAGUUCAUUUGUGUCCUCUUGGUGCUAUAUCAGAUUAUGUAUGCACCUUGAUAUUCUUUUUUCUUGAUUAUUUAGUCUAUUGUCUGCAUUUUUCCUCUUCCCAGUUUCUUAAACAUUUACAAUAUACAGGCACAGAAGAAGAAACAAUACAUUGCAAAAAUUUAUGAAUCUAUUCAACAUGGAAAGGAUGCGGAGAAAAGGUAUCGUUGCAUUCAACCUUAGUUUGAUUAUGCUCUUAUGGCCUCUUUUACAGAUAAGACAAUUAGGUCUGUCUGCAGGAAUCUGGAACAGGCCGCUAUGAGUAAAUUGAUCGAAAUGGCCUACAAAAGACAAAGGGUAAUAGUAUCUUUUCCAUCUGUUUAUUUAUUUUCUUUUUACUUAUUGCUAUUGGUAACCCAACCAAUAUUGAAUUUUAGGAAUCUUGGCACUAUAUACCAAGAAGCAAAUCCUGUGUCUUUCUAUUUAAACUGUACAUUCUAUGGUUUAUAGAAAUUCCAGUAAUUGCUAUAGAUGCAUACACUACACAUGCACUGAUAAUGUAUCAAAAAGAUGUGCAAGCAUUGGAUGGUCUCUGCCCAUGUGCAGGAGGGUCAUAGUCAUGUUAUACUAUUUGACUCUUAGAAGUUGAUAGAGAAAAGAUCAGCAGGUUGAAAGAAAUGGAACAAUAUAUACACGUCAUUGUACUUACUAAAACUAUGUUCUUGUGUUAAUAAAUUUGGAUGGUGAAAGUCCUGAGAGUUACGGCCUUUGACUUUAUAUCGAAGCCAUGCUUAAUAUUUUCUUUCAAUUUUCUGCCUCUUUUUUUAAAUGGCUAUGGCAACGACCUGCUAUAUCACAGUUGGAUGCAGUGAAACCCUAUAAGCAAGAUCUAAAAUCGGUUUCAUUCUGCUAUUUAUCAUGAUAGUUUCAGAAGUAUGAAAUUUUGUAGACACUAAUGAUUUUCUAUGAGCCAGUCUAUAUUCUGAGAGCUUUAAAUAUUAAACAUAUGUACUAUCAUGUUGUGGUAGACUGUGUUUUGACUGGCACUCAUAUUCCAUGGGUUUUCUUGUUACACUUGAUUAACAGAGUAAACUAUACUAUUAGUAACAAUGAAAACAUUAUCUUAACCUUAAUAAGAAUUAUACAUCACCCCUUGAACUUCUAGAACAUUUGGACUUAUUAAACGGUUACCUAUUUUCCACUUCAUAGCAUAUAAUAUAAUCAAUCGUAGUUAGUUAGUUUUGUUAUGUUGUGUGGAUGGGAGAAAUCAUUACUCUGGAUGGGAAUAAAUAUUAUUAACUUACGCUUUAAAUCUAUGAUUACGAAGUCGUCCUUCCCUCCCCCUUCCUCACCUCUAUCUCCUCUCUAAUCUUAGGUUUCUCAUGGGAGUCAUUCCUCGAAGAGAGUGGUCCGCAGGGUCAAUAAGCAAGCUGCUUUGCCUUUUGCUGAACGUACUCUCGCCAAAUGCCUAGAGUUUGAAGAAACUGGGAGGAACUGCUUUAGAAGAGCUGCUUCUAGUUCAUCAGUGACUAUUGGGAGCGAUGUUGCAAGGGGAAAUGAGGAGCUGCACAAUGUAGGAAAGAAUCCUGUGAACCCUUCAACAAAACAACCAACUGAAUCUGUUUCAUUUGAGCGCAGAGACUCUGCUUCUCUAAUGGACUUGGACGAAGGUGGUAUGCAAGACCACGACUGGGAAGGUCUUGCCGUACCAAUGGAUAACCUCUCAGAUGUCCAUUUUGAUUUCUGGUUUUAAAACACCAAAUAGCAAACUGUCUAGUUUAAGGUUAUACGCUUAAUCUUUGUUUACAUUUACAGCAUGACCUGCUCCAUUACAUGUUGGAAGAGCAUGAGGUUGUUUUGUUUUCAUAUCUUGUUACUAGUAUUUCCGGGUAUGUUCAUUUUGGACGAAGUUAAUUUUGUCCUAAAUUCUAUGAUUUUGCCAGAAGUAUGAUUUCUUUAAUCUUUUGGUCGGCUUAAAUGAUGCAAUGUUAUAAUUGUUGGAUGCUAUUCAUUCUGUUCUAAAUAAAUUGUUCUUUACAAAUUGUUAGAUGCGAGAGUGGGGAUAUAUUUUAAUACCAUGAAUAAGAGCUUGCUCACUUGAAGCAACC